rnacentral:rRNA from 1 species
GACGAACGCUGGCGGCGUGCCUAAUACAUGCAAGUCGAACGGUAACAGGAAACAGCUUGCUGUUUCGCUGACGAGUGGCGGACGGGUGAGUAAUGUCUGGGAAACUGCCUGAUGGAGGGGGAUAACUACUGGAAACGGUAGCUAAUACCGCAUAACGUCGCAAGACCAAAGAGGGGGACCUUCGGGCCUCUUGCCAUCGGAUGUGCCCAGAUGGGAUUAGCUAGUAGGUGGGGUAACGGCUCACCUAGGCGACGAUCCCUAGCUGGUCUGAGAGGAUGACCAGCCAAACUGGAAAUGAGACACGGUCCAGACUCCUACGGGAGGCAGCAGUGGGGAAUAUUGCACAAGGGGCGCAAGCCUGAUGCAGCCAUGCCGCGUGUAUGAAGAAGGCCUUCGGGUUGUAAAGUACUUUCAGCGGGGAGGAAGGGAGUAAAGUUAAUACCUUUGCUCAUUGACGUUACCCGCAGAAGAAGCACCGGCUAACUCCGUGCCAGCCGCCGCCGUAA